CGAAGCUAGUUGUAUUAUUAGUUAAUGCAAGAUCGACUAUGUCGACUAAAGUUCUAGGUAAAAUAAUGAUGAUGACAAUUUUUUACCUAUAUGUCUUGACCAAGUCUCGUGCCAGCAGUCGCGGUAAUACGUGGAAGACUAGUGUUAUUCAUCUUUAUUAGGUUUAAAGGGUACCUAGACGGUAUUUCUAGCCCAAAAUAGGGUACGGAUUUACUAGAGUUUUAUGUGAGGAGGGGAGUACUCGUGGAGUAGAGAUGAAAUUUUGUUAUACUAUGAGGUAACUGGUGGCGGCGAAAGCAACCUUCUAUGUAUAAACUGACGUUGAGGGACGAAGGCUCGGGUAGCAAAUAGGAUUAGAUACCCUAGUAGUCCAAGCAGACAAUUCUGAAUGCCAUAGAUUAGAUUAUUUUUGAUCUAUAAAUGAAAGUGUAAGCAUUCCACCUUAGGAGUAAUGUGGCAACACAGGAACUGAAAUCAUUAGACCGUUUCUGAAACCAGUAGUGAAGUAUGUUAUUUAAAUAGAUGGUCCACAAAAAACCUUACCACAACUUGAAUAUUUUUAAAUUAAUACAAGAGUUGCACGGCUGUCUUCAGUUAAUGUCGUG
rnacentral:rRNA from 1 species